rnacentral:rRNA from 1 species
CAGUAGCCGCGGGAAUACAGAGGAUGCAAGCGUUAUCCGGAAUGAUUGGGCGUAAAGCGUCUGUAGGUGGCUUUUCAAGUCCGCCGUCAAAUCCCAGGGCUCAACCCUGGACAGGCGGUGGAAACUACCAAGCUGGAGUACGGUAGGGGAAGAGGGAAUUUCCGGUGGAGCGGUGAAAUGCGUUGAGAUCAGAAAGAACACCAACGGCGAAAGCACUCUGCUGGGCCGACACUGACACUGGGAGACGAAAGCUAGGGGAGCAAAUGGGAUUAGAUACCCGUGUAGUCCCUGUCUCUUAUAA